rnacentral:lncRNA from 1 species
AUGUCCCAGCAGCCACUGACUCUUCUUCAACUGGAUCUCAAACAUCCACUCCUUCAACAUCUCAUACCAGUACAGGCUCGUCAACUACUUCUCAAACAACAGCCUAUUCAAGCACUGACACGACAGACUACACUUCAACUGACUCUCAAACAUCAACUCCAACAUCAACAUCCCAUACCAUUACAAGUUCUCAUACAACUCAAUCAACAGGACCUACAUCCACUGAAACAACAGACUCUUCAACCCAAACAUCAGGCUCAACCCAAACAUCAGGUUCAACCCAAACAUCAGGCUCAACUCAAACAUCAGGCUCAACCCAAACAUCAAGCUCAACCCAAACAUCAGGCUCAACUCAAACAUCAGGCUCAACCCAAACAUCAAGCUCAACCCAAACAUCAAGCUCAACCCAAACAUCAGGCUCAACCCAAACAUCAGGCUCAAUUCAAACAUCAGGUUCAGCUCAAACAUCAGGCUCAACUCAAACAUCAGGUUCAACUCAAACAUCAGGCUCAACUCAAACAUCAGGCUCAACUCAAACAUCAGGCUCAACUCAAACAUCAGGUUCAACUCAAACAUCAGUGUCUUCGAGUAAGUGUUUAUAUCAAUGUAUUACAUAAAAUUACCAUUAGAUACCUGGAACUUAAAGAAAUCGGAUGGAUAGAUGAAUGGAUGGAUGGAUGGAUGGAUGGAUGGAUGGAUUCUGAUACUGUUUCUGUUAUCAUAUGAAGAAAUUUUUAGAAACUUGCGAUUCUAUGUCUUUAAUUUUCAAAUUUCCCAGCAGCCACUGCCACAACAUACACUCCUCCAAUGCCAUCAUCUGCUUCUUCAAGUGAGUAUUUUUAUUUUCUGAAUAUUGUGUGACCAUUUUAAUUGUACAUUUAUUUAUUUAUUUAUUUAUUUAUUUAUUUAGGUUUUAAUGCCAUAUCAGCAGCAUUGGCUAUAUUCA